rnacentral:rRNA from 1 species
CGUAAUAGCUCACUAGUCGAGUGACUCUGCGCCGAAAAUGUACCGGGGCUAAACGGACCGCCGAAGCUGCGGAUUGACACUUAGGUGUCAGUGGUAGGAGAGCGUUCUAACAGCGGAGAAGCAGUACCGGAAGGAGCUGUGGAGCGGUUAGAAGUGAGAAUGCCGGUGUGAGUAGCGAAAGAUAGGUGAGAAUCCUAUCCAUCGAAAGCCUAAGGUUUCCAGGGGAAGGCUCGUCCGCCCUGGGUAAGUCGGGACCUAAGGUGAGGCCGAAAGGCGUAGCCGAUGGACAACAGGUUGAUAUUCCUGUACCACUUAUUAAACUGAUGGAGUGACGGAGAAGGCUAAGUUGAGCGUGUUAAUGGAUUCACGUGUAAGCAGUGAGGUGGUCAUGUAGGCAAAUCCGCAUGGCAUAACAUUGAGCUGUGAUGCCGAAGCCGUAUGGCGAAGUCAACUGAUGUCACGCUUCCAAGAAAAGCUUCUAGGGUUAAUUUAGUAAGUGCCCGUACCGAUAACCGACACAGGUAGGCGAGGAGAGAAUCCUAAGAUGAGCGAGAGAACUCUUGUUAAGGAACUCGGCAAAAUGACCCCGUAACUUCGGGAGAAGGGGUGCUUGUGAAAGCAAGCCGCAGUGAAUAGGCCCAGGCGACUGUUUAUCAAAAACACAGGUCUCUGCUAAACCGCAAGGUGAUGUAUAGGGGCUGACGCCUGCCCGGUGCUGGAAGGUUAAGAGGAGAGGUUAGCGCAAGCGAAGCUUUGAAUUGAAGCCCCAGUAAACGGCGGCCGUAACUAUAACGGUCCUAAGGUAGCGAAAUUCCUUGUCGGGUAAGUUCCGACCCGCACGAAAGGCGUAACGAUCUGGGCGCUGUCUCAACAAGAGACUCGGUGAAAUCAUAGUACCUGUGAAGAUGCAGGUUACCCGCGACAGGACGGAAAGACCCCGUGGAGCUUUACUGUAGCUUGAUAUUGAGCACUGGUGACACAUGUACAGGAUAGGUAGGAGACGAAGAAGCCAGGACGCCAGUCUUGGUGGAGUCGCUGUUGGGAUACUACCCUUGUGUUACUGGGGUUCUAACCCGUGGCCAUGAUCUGGUCAGGGAACAGUGUCAGGUGGGCAGUUUGACUGGGGCGGUCGCCUCCCAAAGAGUAACGGAGGCGCCCAAAGGUUCCCUCAGAAUGGUUGGAAAUCAUUCGAAGAGUGUAAAGGCAGAAGGGAGCUUGACUGCGAGACCUACAAGUCGAGCAGGGACGAAAGUCGGGCUUAGUGAUCCGGCGGUACCGAAUGGAAGGGCCGUCGCUCAACGGAUAAAAGCUACCCCGGGGAUAACAGGCUGAUCUCCCCCAAGAGUUCACAUCGACGGGGAGGUUUGGCACCUCGAUGUCGGCUCAUCGCAUCCUGGGGCUGUAGUCGGUCCCAAGGGUUGGGCUGUUCGCCCAUUAAAGCGGUACGCGAGCUGGGUUCAGAACGUCGUGAGACAGUUCGGUCCCUAUCCGUCGUGGGCGUAGGAAAUUUGAGAGGAGCUGUCCUUAGUACGAGAGGACCGGGAUGGACACACCGCUGGUGUACCAGUUGUUCUGCCAGGAGCAUAGCUGGGUAGCUACGUGUGGACGGGAUAAACGCUGAAAGCAUCUAAGCGUGAAGCCCCCCUCAAGAUGAGAUUUCCCAUUCGAAAGAAGUAAGAUCCCUUGAAGACGACAAGGUAGAUAGGUCAGAAGUGGAAGUGUGGUGACACAUGGAGCGGACUGAUACUAAUCGAUCGAGGACUUAACCAAA